UACGUAGGGGGCAAGCGUUGUCCGGAAUCAUUGGGCGUAAAGAGCGUGUAGGCGGCCAGAUAAGUCCGCUGUGAAAACUCGAGGCUCAACUUCGAGCUGUCGGUGGAAACUAUUUGGCUAGAGUCCGGAAGAGGAGAGUGGAAUUCCUGGUGUAGCGGUGAAAUGCGCAGAUAUCAGGAAGAACACCCGUGGCGAAGGCGGCUCUCUGGUACGGAACUGACGCUGAGACGCGAAAGCGUGGGGAGCAAACAGG
rnacentral:rRNA from 1 species